rnacentral:rRNA from 1 species
CACGAACCGUACGAACGUUAUUCGGAAUUACUGGGCUUAAAGGGUUUGUAGGCGGCCUUGUAAGUCAGGUGUGAAAUCCCUCGGCUCAACCGAGGAAUAGCGCUUGAUACUGCAAGGCUUGAGGGAGACAGGGGUAAGCGGAACUGAUGGUGGAGCGGUGAAAUGCGUAGAUAUCUGGAGGAACACCGGUGGCGAAGGCGGCAUCCUGGACCGGCAUUGACGCUGAGGAGCGAAAGCCAGGGGAGCAAACGGG